AGGGAAUCUUCCACAAUGGGCGAAAGCCUGAUGGAGCAACGCCGCGUGUGUGAUGAAGGCUUUCGGGUCGUAAAGCACUGUUGUAUGGGAAGAACAGCUAGAAUAGGAAAUGAUUUUAGUUUGACGGUACCAUACCAGAAAGGGACGGCUAAAUACGUGCCAGCAGCCGCGGUAAUACGUAUGUCCCGAGCGUUAUCCGGAUUUAUUGGGCGUAAAGCGAGCGCAGACGGUUUAUUAAGUCUGAUGUGAAAGCCCGGAGCUCAACUCCGGAAUGGCAUUGGAAACUGGUUAACUUGAGUGCAGUAGAGGUAAGUGGAACUCCAUGUGUAGCGGUGGAAUGCGUAGAUAUAUGGAAGAACACCAGUGGCGAAGGCGGCUUACUGGACUGCAACUGACGUUGAGGCUCGAAAGUGUGGGUAGCAAAC
rnacentral:rRNA from 1 species